rnacentral:misc_RNA from 1 species
GAAAUGCGAUAAGUAAUGUGAAUUGCAGAAUUCAGUGAAUCAUCGAAUCUUUGAACGCACAUUGCGCCCGCCAGCAUUCUGGCGGGCAUGCCUGUUCGAGCGUCAUUUCAACCCUCGAGCUCCCUUUGGGGAGCCCGGCGUUGGGGACCGGCCUCUACCGCCGGCCCCGAAAUGAAGUGGCGGCCCGUCCGCGGCGACCUCUGCGUAGUAACUCACCUCGCACCGGAACCCCGACGUGGCCACGCCGUAAAACACCCAACUUUCUGAACGUUGACCUCGAAUCAGGUAGGAAUACCCGCUGAACUUAACC